UACGGAGGGUGCAAGCGUUAUCCGGAUUCACUGGGUGUAAAGGGUGCGUAGGCGGGCAGGUAAGUCCGUGGUGAAAUCUCUGAGCUUAACUCAGAAACUGCCAUGGAUACUAUUUGUCUUGAAUAUUGUGGAGGUAAGCGGAAUAUGUCAUGUAGCGGUGAAAUGCUUAGAUAUGACAUAGAACACCAAUUGCGAAGGCAGCUUACUACACAGUUAUUGACGCUGAGGCACGAAAGCGUGGGGAGCAAACAGG
rnacentral:rRNA from 1 species